CAAUGUGAAUGUGAACAGUACAUGAAGAAUCCGUGCGGCACAAGCAGAAAUGAGGCGGGUGCUGGUUUUCAAUAUUUUUGUCCUUUGGCAGCUUCUUUUAAUAUAGUCCGGCUUUAAAGAAAGAAAUAUGCAUUACAGUCACAGAGGUUUGAACAAGGAUCAAGUGAAAUUUUGUAAACAGGACAGAUCCCUCACCCCUCACUUCCUCCAGUCACAACCUGGAAGUCCCACUCCUUCUGCCUUGGACUGAAUAUUAAGGAUGAAGACAGUUCAAGUCAACAUUCUGUUCAUCUGUGUGUGAAGAAGAACACACCAGGAAUGCUCUCUAUUGCUGAAAGAAGAUCUUUUGUUGUUUUUGAUGCCCGGUGUGGUCAUUUUUUUGCUUAUUGAAAUAUUUUCAUAUUAUUCAUUACAUGGGGAAUACCUCCCAGCCCUCUUUCUUGCAGGAGUGGACCCUAUGAUGGUGAGGUGUCCCUCCUAUGGAGUGUCCUUGCAUGCGUCUAGUGCAGAGUGCAGCUGAGAUAAUCUAGGGGGACUCUGUGAUAAUGAACUGGAGAAAGUGGGUUUGAAGAUGGUUGGAUGGAUGAAUGAGUAUUGAUGUGAUUUUCCUUACAUUUUAAACAUCCAAAAACAAUUCUGAAAAUGUCCAAAAUAGCAUAAAAAACAAACUGUGGCUCCUCAAGUAUGUCAAUGUAAUUAAUAUCCUUUAAAUGCUGGUCUUCUAAUACUUUAUGUUGAUCUACAGUACACUGUUUGGCACUGGGCCCUUUUUCAAUUAUCUCCAGUGGCUUUGUAUUGUGAAAGAAAUGAAUAAAAACACUAACCUCA